ensembl:lncRNA
CUGGUGUGAACAACACACCUGAGAUAUCUGUGAUCUCUCUUCUAGGGAGGUGAAGGACACAAGCCAGGGUAUGGAGGAAGUGGCAAAUUCUCCGAGCAUAAAUCUGCUUAUAAGGGACAUAAGGGAUCAUACCAUGAUGGCCAGGGCACUCUUUCCAAAAUCUUUAAACUGGGAGGAUCUGGUUCCCGACCUGGAUCACGGUCUGGUUCUCCAGUUGCUAGACGCUGAAGUUCUAAGACGUCAUUCAAGGACCAUGUACUCUGCUUCAUAAGAUAACUGCCUAAAAUUUUAAUAAUAAUUGCAAGGAUUACAUAGAUAGAAACAAUCUGUUACUUAAUGUCAUUUGAGUUGUGCAUGCAGUAGGAUUAUAUAAACUUCUAUUGGCAAUCCCUGACCAACAGUUGAAUGAAUGAAACACACAAAGUAGCUUUAUUUGCUAUCUUCAUUUUUUAAGUAAAAUAACAAGAUCCCCCACUUCAUUCAUUCUUCUUCAGGAUGUCCCAACUGCAUGUUAGAUUUUAUUUAUUUUUUCUCCAAGCCCCACAAGUCUUCUGAUUUUUUUUUCAUUGAACACCACAAUUGCAAAUACAGAGCAACUGUCUUGGUUUUUGAGCACUGCCAUUAAAGGAUUUCUUAAACACUGCUAUAAAAAACACGUGCAGAAGUUGUAAGGACUGUUUAUCCGAACACUUUUUUGUUUGGGUUUAUUUUUGUUUAAUGUCACUUCUCUCCGAAUAUUUUCCUUUUCAUAACAGGAUUAGGCAGUCAUGGAAAGGUUUAAUAAACUUUGGGAGUUCAAGGUAUGUGAAAUGUGGGAGAGGGCAGCUGUUACAGUAUCAAUGAGCCGCAAAGCAAUAGUAAUAAGGAAAUUCCUUAUUUUUACAAAUUGCUCAUCACACCCAAACCAUUAGAAUUAAGUGUGGCCGAAAGAGAGAGAGAGAGAGAGAGAGAGGGGAUUUCAAACUUGGGUUAGACUAAUGUCUUACAACAAAAAACAAGGAACAUUCCCAGAGAAGAAACAUCUAAGAUUGCACGUGACCACUGCAUGUCACUGUUGCUCCACGCAGACACUGCUACAACAGCAUUUCUUUAGCAGUUAAAGAAUAAAACAAAAAUAGUCUAAUUUGUGAAAGAAAUAAAGCCCUUCAGCAUUGAGAUUUCAGAUAGUCCUGCACAUCUCAAGUUAGAAUUAUUAGUAGUUUUCUUGUUACUGCAGCAGUGUUAAACUUGGUAAGCUUGUCUUAUGACGAAAUAGAUGCCUUUAAUGGCAGUGCACCAAAGCAAACUAGUAGUAAACUACUGUGAACAUUUAACUGUUGCAUUGUAGUUGCCUUAUAGAAAUUAAAUCUAAAUCAUUAGUUAGUGUUUAACAUUGAUUGUUCACAAAUCUACUAAAAUGUAUACAUGUGGCAAUGGUAUUUCCAACCAUAUGUAGGAAAAAAGCUCUUCUGAAUUGCACUAUUUUAUAACAAACUUUAAUAUUUUGUGAGAUUACCCUCCUUAACUGAUUCAGUGUUUUUUAUUUUAGCAUAUACAUUGUAGACUAUAUUUAAUGCUAAGUUGGCACUCAGUUUCAGCCAUGCUACUAACUGUCAGGAGUAGCCAAUGUUAAUGCCAACUGACAUAUACCAUGUGUUGUUAAUUCUAUUUUGUCUCUAAAUCUACUGUAGAUUUAAAGCACUGUCCAUUAAUAUGCAGUGGUGAAAGAUGAGAGGGUAGGAAAACAUAGAAACGAAAGAAACAGAAAAACAGCAAAAUUGUUAAACACACACCUAUUACAUCUUCCUUAUGCUAUAUUGUUGUCUGGCUAUACUGGAAGGACAGGAGACAGUGAAUAUGGUUUAA